rnacentral:lncRNA from 1 species
AUCAGACUCCUAUUGUCACCAAGACUUGACAUAUAUUUUAUAUAGAUUUUGUUUUUUUUUACCCUAGGAAAGCCAAGAAAGGGGUUGUGACCAAUUUGUUGAAGACUUCCUAGUAUACAUUGAACAGAGACAGGAAAGGAGAGCAGACAAGAAGAGACAAAGGAGAAAAGGACAACAUAAAGGAUGGACACUGGGGUUUAUCCUAAAAUUUAAAGGGAUCCAUCCCCUAAGGGAAGACCAGAACAAGGAAUUUAAACAGUUAAAGGCAGAAGGAAGG